rnacentral:rRNA from 1 species
CCUACGGGAGGCAGCAGUGAGGAAUAUUGGUCAAUGGGCGAGAGCCUGAACCAGCCAAGCCGCGUGAAGGAUGAAGGAUCUAUGGUUUGUAAACUUCUUUUAUAUGGGAAUAAAGUGAGGAACGUGUUCCUUUUUGUAUGUACCAUAUGACUAAGCAUCGGCUAACUCCGUGCCAGCAGCCGCGGUAAUACGGAGGAUGCGAGCGUUAUCCGGAUUUAUUGGGUGUAAAGGGUGCGUAGGUGGUUAAUUAAGUCAGCGGUGAAAGUUUGUGGCUAAACCAUAAAAUUGCCGUUGAAACUGGUGAACUGGAGGAUAUGUGAGGUAGGCGGAAUGCGUGGUGUAGCGGUGAAAUGCAUAGAUAUAACGAAGAACUCCAGUGGCGAAGGCAGCUUACUAAACAAUAACUGACGCUGAGGCACGAAAGCGUGGGGAGCAAACAGGAUUAGAUACCCGGGUAGUC